GCGGCUGUAGCUCAGUUGGUAGAGCGUCAGCUUCCCAAGCUGAAUGUCGAGAGUUCGAGUCUCUUCAGCCGCUCCA
rnacentral:tRNA from 1 species